AGCAGUCGCCGCGGUAAUACAGAGGGUGCGAGCGUUAAUCGGAUUUACUGGACGUAAAGCGUGCGUAGGCGGCUUCUUAAGUCGGAUGUGAAAUCCCUGAGCUUAACUUAGGAAUUGCAUUCGAUACUGGGAAGCUAGAGUAUGGGAGAGGAUGGUAGAAUUCCAGGUGUAGCGGUGAAAUGCGUAGAGAUCUGGAGGAAUACCGAUGGCGAAGGCAGCCAUCUGGCCUAAUACUGACGCUGAGGUACGAAAGCAUGGGGAGCAAACAGGAUUAGAUACCCGAGUAGUCCCUGUCUCUUAUAC
rnacentral:rRNA from 1 species